CAUCUCUAAAGGUGGAGGAAGCCAACUGAGAUGCUGCUGUAUAAAUCCUGGAUCUUCUGAAAGACUCAAAUAAGGUUGCUAAUUUAAAAUGUUGACGCCUGGAUUUAACUGGAGGUUCAUUCAUUUUUUUUAAAUGUCAGUUAGAUGUUAUAAACGUAAUGAAUUGAUUGGGACAAAUUUGAGAGAAAAGUGGAAAACCCAGCAAAGCCCAGAACAUCUUAUGGAUCUCAUCGCUGGAUUUUCAUGAAAAAACGACCAUUGUAAAGGCAUCGGCGCGACGGUCUGCACGGCUGGGAGGUUUUUACUUGUGGCGCCGUUAACAAAGCUUGAUGAAGAGGAGGAUGACGAAGAGGCGGAGUCAGUGGCACCUGUUAAACAUUGUGUGUUGCUGUGGCAGCAGCAAAAAUAUUGGGCGUGCUUCCCGAAGAGGGCACUCCACUGGUGGUGGGUGUACCUACUGUGUUCACUGCCAGACUUCCUGGAGGAGGCUUCUUAACAGGCACCACUACACUCCUGCGC